UACGUAGGGUGCAAGCGUUGUCCGGAAUUAUUGGGCGUAAAGAGCUCGUAGGCGGUCUGUCGCGUCUGCUGUGAAAACUCAGGGCUUAACCCUGAGCUUGCAGUGGGUACGGGCAGACUAGAGUGCGGUAGGGGAGACUGGAAUUCCUGGUGUAGCGGUGAAAUGCGUAGAUAUCAGGAGGAACACCUGUGGUGUAGACAGCUUACUGGAUCAUAACUGACGCUGAGGCACGAAAGCGUGGGUAGCAAACAGG
rnacentral:rRNA from 1 species